rnacentral:miRNA from 1 species
ACAUUUCAGCUCAAUGACCUUU